AGUCACUUUUAUUUUUAUUUUUAUGUGAUUUUGUUUAGAUAUUCAUCAAAUAUUUAUGUAUUUCAGAUUUUUAGUCUUUUAAACAAUUUUUUUCUAUUUUUUUGUGAUUUUGUUUUAAUUUUUCAGAUUUAGUAGAAUCUAAAAAUUCAUUUAUAUGUUUAUUUUGUUUGAUUUUUAGUACAUUUAUAUUUGAUAAUAUUGAAGUUUGCUUUUAGGGUUUUAGAUUUUGGG
rnacentral:lncRNA from 1 species